rnacentral:rRNA from 1 species
AUUGAACGCUGGCGGCAUGCCUUACACAUGCAAGUCGAACGGUAACAGGUCUUCGGAUGCUGACGAGUGGCGAACGGGUGAGUAAUACAUCGGAACGUGCCUAGUAGUGGGGGAUAACUACUCGAAAGAGUGGCUAAUACCGCAUGAGAUCUACGGAUGAAAGCAGGGGAUCGCAAGACCUUGUGCUACUAGAGCGGCCGAUGGCAGAUUAGGUAGUUGGUGGGAUAAAAGCUUACCAAGCCGACGAUCUGUAGCUGGUCUGAGAGGACGAUCAGCCACACUGGGACUGAGACACGGCCCAGACUCCUACGGGAGGCAGCAGUGGGGAAUUUUGGACAAUGGGCGCAAGCCUGAUCCAGCAAUGCCGCGUGCAGGAUGAAGGCCUUCGGGUUGCAAACUGCUUUUGUACGGAACGAAAAGCCCCGGGUUAAUACCCUGGGGUCAUGACGGUACCGUAAGAAUAAGCACCGGCUAACUACGUGCCAGCCGCCGCAGUAG